rnacentral:rRNA from 1 species
UACGUAGGGUGCGAGCGUUGUCCGGAAUUAUUGGGCGUAAAGGGCUCGUAGGCGGUUUGUCGCGUCGGGAGUGAAAACUCAGGGCUUAACCCUGAGCCUGCUUCCGAUACGGGCAGACUAGAGGUAUGCAGGGGAGAACGGAAUUCCUGGUGUAGCGGUGAAAUGCGCAGAUAUCGAGAGGAACACCUGCGGCGAAGGCGGGUUGCUGGGCCGACACUGACGCUGAUGCGCGAAAGCCAGGGGAGCGAAGCGGG